UACGUAGGGGGCAAGCGUUGUCCGGAAUCAUUGGGCGUAAAGCGCGUGUAGGCGGUUCAGUAAGUCUGCUGUGAAAGUCCAGGGCUCAACCCUGGGAUGCCGGUGGAUACUGCUGGGCUAGAGUACGGAAGAGGCGAGUGGAAUUCCCGGUGUAGCGGUGAAAUGCGCAGAUAUCGGGAGGAACACCAAUUGCGAAGGCAGCUCGCUGGGACGUUACUGACGCUGAGUACGCGAAAGCGUGGGAGCAAGC
rnacentral:rRNA from 1 species